AGAGCAGGGGCCUAACGCCGGCUCCCCCCGGACGCGGCCCCUGACACCCACCCGUCGGCGGCACCAACGGCCGGAAGCGCCCUGCGCGGCGGCGGGGUAGGUGGAACCCAAGGAAUAGGAUUCAAAGAGAACUUUCAAUUUAUCUGCAUUUUUCAUACUUUCUAUAAUACUUUCACCUUCAACAGAGUAAAACAUUGGAAAAUUUCAUCACAACCUGGAUUUCCAAACAUUCUUCUUUUCUUUUAUGCUUUUUAGUAAUUAAAUUCCGUUGAUUCAAAGGAUGAAAAAUAACAGAACAGCUAUUGGAACCCUAGCCCACAAAACUAGAAUUUUCCCCCAAAACUGAAAGUGUCUAGGGUGAUGACAACCCUAAGUCCAAAUCCAGGUAAAGUAAAAGGGAAUCCAGGUAGAAAAAACGAGGUAUGGACAGGAGUAGCAUUGACACCAGAAGGAUAAAUACAUCUCCCUUUUUUAUCCCAACCAGGAGUCUUCUAAUGUAAAUUUGCCCUGAUUUGAAAAGCACAAGGCCCCUUUGAUGCUGUUGUUUACUCUGCUGUUUACAAAAAUAAAAUUUGUUCAAAGAAAAUUACUGAGAGAUUUUUCACCCCUUUAAUGCUAUUCUAAGGCAUUGGUAUGUAUGAAAAACAAUAUAAAUUUUGAGAAUUUUUGCCAUUUUUGUUAGUGAUAUCUAUUGAUGUCUGCUAAGAUUCUUUUAAAAUAGGGAUGAAUUUUUUUUUCAGAAUCUAUCCUAAGAAAAUAAUCCUAAUAUAAAAUCAGUCUUACGCACAGAGAUUUUUUAAAUAUUUUAAAAACAUAUCUAAUAUGGAAAUUGGGAUACAUACAUUCAAUUAACUAUUAUUGUGGUCAUAUUAAAAAUGACAUUUAUGAAAGACUUAAGCCUAGAAGACAGUGAUGUUAAUCCCAAGUGGGAGAAAAAUGCGUGUGUACCAAGUUAAAUAGAAUAUGACCCCAAAAAUAUUGAAAAACAUGAUAUGCAUGCACAUACACACAACACUGAGAAGAAAUAUACCAUAAUAUGGACUUAAUUUUUAGAUAAUGGGCAUGUGGAUGACAUUUUUAUUAUUUUAAAUGUCCAGUUUUCUACAAUAAACAUCCUUUAAAGAAGAAACGAUGAGAUAUUUCAUAUUUUGCCUGAUAUUGUAUAUAGUUUAAAAUGUUUACUAAAUAAAUUUCAUUAAUGUACUUCUAAGAAAGCUACAUUAGAAAAACCUUAAAAAAAUAAUGGAUAAUGUUUUUUGGUAUUUGACACAAUCUUGGAAAAUAAUUUGAUCUUGCUUUUUGUAUAGUGUACUAAUGCAUACAUAUGGAAUAUGUUACUAGAUAAUGAAUUCAUGAGAAUUAACAUUUUUGGAUCACUUUAAAUGAAAUGAAUGACUUAGAAGAUUGUUUCUGACUUGUGCUUUUGUGCUUGUUAGCAAAGCAUUACAAAAAGUGUUAAUAAUAAACACUGUCUGAUAGAAUCUUAUAGUUUGCAAAAAGUUUUGACAUAUUAUUUUAUUAGAACAUUAAGAAAAUUAGGUUGAUUAUAAUAAGGACUAAUCUUCAACAAAGCAGGAAAAAAUAUCCAAUGGAAAAAAG